rnacentral:rRNA from 1 species
UACGAAGGGGGCUAGCGUUGCUCGGAAUCACUGGGCGUAAAGGGCGCGUAGGCGGAUCUUUAAGUCGGGGGUGAAAGCCCAGGGCUCAACCCUGGAAUUGCCUUCGAUACUGAAGAUCUCGAGACCGGAAGAGGUAAGUGGAACUGCGAGUGUAGAGGUGAAAUUCGUAGAUAUUCGUAAGAACACCAGUGGCGAAGGCGGCUUACUGGUCCGGUUCUGACGCUGAGGCGCGAAAGCGUGGGGAGCAAACAGG